rnacentral:rRNA from 1 species
AGUAAUGCCUUGGGAAAUUGCCCAGUCGAGGGGGAUAACAGUUGGAAACGACUGCUAAUACCGCAUACGCCCUACGGGGGAAAGCAGGGGACCUUCGGGCCUCGCGCGAUUGGAUAUGCCCAGGUGGGAUUAGCUAGUUGGUGAGGUAAUGGCUCACCAAGGCGACGAUCCCUAGCUGGUCUGAGAGGAUGAUCAGCCACACUGGAACUGAGACACGGUCCAGACUCCUACGGGAGGCAGCAGUGGGGAAUAUUGCACAAUGGGGGAAACCCUGAUGCAGCCAUGCCGCGUGUGUGAAGAAGGCCUUCGGGUUGUAAAGCACUUUCAGCGAGGAGGAAAGGUUGAUGCCUAAUACGUAUCAACUGUGACGUUACUCGCAGAAGAAGCACCGGCUAACUCCGUGCCAGCAGCCGCGGUAAUACGGAGGGUGCAAGCGUUUAUCGGAAUUACUGGGCGUAAAGCGCACCGCAGGCGGUUGGAUAAAUUAGAUGUGAAAGCCCCGGGCUCAACCUGGGAAUUGCAUUUAAAACUGUCCAGCU